CAGAGUUAGACUGAUGAAUACACGAUUGACUGUUUAGCUAACAGAAGUUCCAUUAUCUCUGUUUCAGUCCACCGUACAAGGAUGCGUUCCAGGAGGUGGUCCGGGUGCAGUUGACAAAAGUCAACGUCCGUGGUGUUCUGAGAAUUGAAACAGGAGAUGUGCACAAGCCUCCUUCCUCGGUGUCCUCCCCACCCUGUUCUGGGCGGCUCUCAGAAAUGCUUACUUCUUCUGGAAAACAAUUUCGCACCUCCUGUGAGAACGUUUCCAAAGUGGCAUAUUCAUCCAAAGAACAUCUGAGAGUAGAAAGCCAACCAGCUAUCACAGAAGAAGCAGCAAACUUGGGAAGAACUGAAACGUGAGGAAGUCUCAUUUUACAUGCAGUCAGAUCUGGAGACCGUCUUCACGCUGGAAUUUAAAAUAUUCGGGCAGUUCCCCAUCUUUCUCUUCAUCAUUUGUGCGUUCGGAUUGGAGGUCUGCCGGCCGCACCUACCUUCCACACCAAAGGAAAUCCCAGUUCUUUGAGAAGACAGUCAUCAUCUUGACACACUAUUUGUUACCAUGAAAAGGCUCCGUGCAGCCAUCUGUUUCACAUAAAUGUGUUUAUUUGCUCACCCUCAAGGAGCAGGGCUUUGGCUAAGCAGUCCCCAGUUGCAUAAGGAAAGUCCUGAUUAUCAUCAGACUCUUCAAGAGCUGAUAAUGAAAGUCAUGGUCCUUAGUUUUGACACUGUGUAAAUCAAGACACACAGAGCUCACGAAAUGUUUGUUCAGUGACGCAUGCCCACGUUUUCAAUGCCUUCCUUUUUUUUUCAGGCCUGUAAAGGUCCAGAGGUGAAAAUGUGAAUAUAUAUAUGUGUGUGUG
rnacentral:lncRNA from 1 species